rnacentral:rRNA from 1 species
AGAGUUUGAUCAUGGCUCAGAACGAACGCUGGCGGCAGGCCUAACACAUGCAAGUCGAGCGCGUAGCAAUACGAGCGGCAGACGGGUGAGUAACGCGUGGGAACCUUCCUUAUAGUACGGAAUAGCCCAGGGAAACUUGGAUUAAUACCGCAUACGCCCUACGGGGGAAAGAUUUAUCGCUAUAAGAUGGGCCCGCGUUGGAUUAGAUAGUUGGUGGGGUAAUGGCCUACCAAGUCUACGAUCUAUAGCUGAUCUGAGAGGAUGAUCAGCCACACUGGUACUGAGACACGGACCAGACUCCUACGGGAGGCAGCAGUGGGGAAUAUUGGACAAUGGGCGCAAGCCUGAUCCAGCCAUGCCGCGUGAGUGACGAAGGCCUUCGGGUUGUAAAGCUCUUUAGCAGGGGAAAAUCAUGAUGGUACCCUGAAAAUAAGCACCGGCUAACUUCGUGCCAGCCGCCGCGGUAAUUC